rnacentral:rRNA from 1 species
UACAGAGGUGGCAAGCGUUGUUCGGAAUUACUGGGCGUAAAGGGCGCGUAGGCGGCCGUUUGCGUCGGAUGUGAAAGCCCGGGGCUCAACCUCGGAACGGCAUUCGAUACGGGACGGCUGGAGACCGGGAGAGGAGAGUGGAAUAGCCAGUGUAGAGGUGAAAUUCGUAGAUAUUGGCUGGAACACCGGUGGCGAAAGCGGCUCUCUGGCCCGGUUCUGACGCUGAGGCGCGAAAGCGUGGGGAGCAAACAGG